AGAGCAGAGAAUUGCACCCUGGCAUGAUGCCUAUGCCAGCUGGACUGUGUGAUUUUUGUUCUUUAGUAGAAGGAUAACAUGACAUAGCAGGAAUAAUACUGCCUUUUCUUUCUGGCAUGGAUCAAGAGAAAAGAAAAUACAAGAAAACAGACAGAAGAUCCUAUCUGCGACAAUUAAGAGCACUCUAAGAGGAAAACACAUCCCACCACACAAGGCAAGGUACUUCUAUGGAAGGGUGAGCCCUCACAGAUGGAGCAAUGGGGCGCGCACACCUGAACAAGGGAGGGGAAGGAGUUCUUAUCCCUGAUGCAUGUGACCCCUGCUGCUGUGUCCUUCCCCUAUUGGCUAAGGUUAGACCACACAGCCUAAACUAAUUCCGAUUGGCUAAUUCAAAGAGAGCGACGGGGGCUUCUGACAGCUUUGGAGAUUGUGACAUUGGAAUAAAGGAAAAACGUACAGGACUCAUGAAGCGCUGAAAUGUUCACAAAUAUCAAGCAAAAGUCAAUGAAAUUUAUUUUGAGCUAUUUACAUCAUUUAAUAAUUGAGCAAGGUAUACUCCUAUGAACAAAAUUUGGAGCAUGUUUGUCUCUCUCUGCCUGGCGUCUUCAGAAUUUGGAAACUAGUUAUGGUUUAUAAUCAGCUAUAGAAUUUUAACACGUGCUCUCAAAUGCAAGUUUCUGAUAACUUUGGAGAUUGUGACAUUGGAAUAAAGGAAGAGCUGGAAUGUUCAUGAAUAUCAAGCAAAAGUCAUGGAAAUUUAUUUUGAGCUAUUUACAGCAUUUAAUAAUUGAGCAAGGUAUACUCCUAUGAACAAAAUUUGGAGCAUGUUUGUCUCUCUCUGUCUGCCUGGCAUCUACAGAAUUUGGAAACUAGUUUCGUUCCCAGAUUUCCUAAACUUUCCAGAGAAAAUGGUCUUCUCCCUGGCUCAGCAAGAAGAUGAACUUUAAACACUGAGAAACUGGUCAUCUCCCUGGCUCAACCAGAAGAUGAACUUUAAACACUACUCUCAAUGACUUGAUGUUCCCAUCACUACUCCUGUCAUAAAGGGAGGGGACUCAGAUAUUGAGAAUUUUAUGAUAGUGUGAACUGUCUGGUAUGUCAUUUAAGUAAGCCCGUUGCUGAAAUAUUUUCCAUGUUAUUAGAAAGAGCUGAAGAGAGGGAUUGAGAUGGCUUCUUUAUUUUUUGUCUUUUGGGAAUUAAAGGAACCUGGUUCAACAAGGGCCUACACCUAAGUCUCUUGUUGUACCAGAGUACAAUUUAGGACUGCUCCUGAGGAAGGAAUUAGCUAGAAAUCUAGAGAGUAAGGGUAACAGAUUUACAUAGAAUAACAGCCUCAGUAUUUUUGGUUCCUCUCCAGUAAAGAUCACAAAGAAUAUUGCUAAAUCGCUAAAACACCUUUGCAAUAACGUAAGGGCUUACAACUAUAUACCAAUGUAGCUCAGUUACUAAACUGGAGUAAACUAAUUUCUCUUGUGUAGAAAAAUUGGUUGGCUGUGGUUUUAUAGCAGAUCUGCAAUUAUUAAUAGUUAUGCCAAUAAUCGUUUAACAGUGCAUAUGUUAAUAUAUAUGGAAAGACAAUGUGUAUAGACAGAUGUGUAAAAUUGAAAAAUAAACAUAUAACAAGAGAGAAACAUCUAUCGAACAGACAAUAUACAUACACAUCAAACACAACAGCAGUUUUAGUGACCAUAAUAUUUAUUUCUCAUUUUUACAUUGCUUACUUUAGUGACAACUGAAAAUGACAGUUGGCAAUGCAGCUAACAGUUUCAAUAAAAGUAUAAAACAAAAGACUGUGUACAAAGCACCUGUCUUUCCGCUUUUGUAAUCUUCCGUUGGAAAAAAUUUACACACCUAAGUAACCAUCUGUUUUCUUCAAGAAAAAAUCAUUCUUAUUUCUCUCUCUCAUCUUGAAAACAGCUGUCAGCCAGGAGGGCAGAGCUGAAAUUUAUUGCCACAUCACAUGAAGCAUAGAACAGACUCCACUACUCCUUGAGAUUCAAAACUUUGCCUCUCACAAAGUUACCUUUUAUUUUCCUCUUGUUUGUCACUCAUCUCCCCUAGUGUGCUCUUUUUAUUUCUUUUACUAUUAAUAAUAAAAUCUGUGGAUGAC
ensembl:lncRNA LINC00320 long intergenic non-protein coding RNA 320